AUAGGCUGCAGUCGUGCGAGAGUCCCUUCGGGGAUGGACAGCGGCGAAAGGGAGAGUAACGGGUGGUUACAUACCCUCAGGCUCGGGAUAGUGUCGGGAAACUGACAGUAAUACCGAAUAAUAUCUUUGGAUCAAAGGUGCGAUUCCGCCUGGGGAUUGGACCGCUUUCUAUUAGCUUGUUGGCGGGGUAAUGGCCCACCAAGGCUUAGAUGGAUACCGGGUGUGAGAGCAUGGCCCGGCUCACUGGGACUGAGACACUGCCCAGACACCUACGGGUGGCUGCAGUCGAGAAUCUUCGGCAAUGGGCGAAAGCCUGACCGAGCGACGCCGCGUGCGGGAUGAAGGCCUUCGGGUUGUAAACCGCUGUCAGUUGGGAGGAAAUGUAGAGGGGUACUCCCCUUUAUUUGACCGAUCUUCAGAGGAAGGACGGGCUAAGUUCGUGCCAGCAGCCGCGGUAAGACGAACCGUCCAAACGUUAUUCGGUAUCACUGGGCUUAAAGCGUUCGUAGGCGGCCUGGUAGGUGAGGUGUGAAAGCCCACGGCUCAACCGUGGAACAGCGCUUCAAACCACCAGGCUCGAGGAUGGCAGGGGUAAUGGGAACUGAUGGUGGAGCGGUGAAAUGCGUUGAUAUCAUCAGGAACACCGGUGGCGAAGGCGCAUUACUGGGCCAUUUCUGACGCUGAGGAACGAAAGCUAGGGUAGCGAACGGGAUUAGAUACCCCGGUAGUCCUAGCCGUAAACGAUGAGCACUGGGUUGGAGGGGACUUCACAUCUCUCGGCGUAGCGGAAGCGUAGUGCUCGCUGGGGAGUAUGGCCGCAAG
rnacentral:rRNA from 1 species